rnacentral:RNase_P_RNA from 1 species
GAGGCAGGCUGGGCAGUCGCGGUACCAAGUAUCGAGGAAGGUCCGGACUCCAUAGAGCAGGGUAGCGGCUAACAGCCGUCCGGCAAGUGUGGCAUCGCGCCAGACGAGCCGAGGACCAGGGCCACAGAGACGAGACCACAGCAAGGGCUUGCGCAAGCAGGCACAGAUACGGCGACUUCCGUGUUUUCUUGUACUUCGGUGCAAAGUGCUGUGGGGUGAAACGCGGUAACCUCUACCCGGAGCAAUACCAAAUAGGCAUACGCAGGCUUUUAGCCCGAGAGGCGGCUCGUCUCAGUAUGCGGGUAGGUAGCUAGAACCGGCCAGUAAUGGUCGGUCCAGAGGAAUGAUUGCCGGCCAGCGGGUUCCCGCUGGCAUACAGAAUCCGGCCUAUAGGCCUGUCUCACAC